rnacentral:rRNA from 1 species
UACGAAGGGGGCUAGCGUUGUUCGGAAUCACUGGGCGUAAAGGGCGCGUAGGCGGCUGUUCAAGUCGGGGGUGAAAUCCCGUGGCUCAACCACGGAAUGGCCUUCGAUACUGGACGGCUCGAGACCGGAAGAGGUGAGUGGAACUGCGAGUGUAGAGGUGAAAUUCGUAGAUAUUAGGAAGAACACCAGUGGCGAAGGCGGCUCUCUGGACCGAGACUGACGCUGAGGCGCGAAAGCGUGGGGAGCAAACAGG